rnacentral:rRNA from 2 species
GUUUGAUCAUGGCUCAGGACGAACGCCGGCGGCGUGCCUAAUACAUGCAAGUCGAGCGGACAGAAGGGAGCUUGCUCCCGGAUGUUAGCGGCGGACGGGUGAGUAACACGUGGGUAACCUGCCUGUAAGACUGGGAUAACUCCGGGAAACCGGAGCUAAUACCGGAUAGUUCCUUGAACCGCAUGGUUCAAGGAUGAAAGACGGUUUCGGCUGUCACUUACAGAUGGACCCGCGGCGCAUUAGCUAGUUGGUGAGGUAACGGCUCACCAAGGCGACGAUGCGUAGCCGACCUGAGAGGGUGAUCGGCCACACUGGGACUGAGACACGGCCCAGACUCCUACGGGAGGCAGCAGUAGGGAAUCUUCCGCAAUGGACGAAAGUCUGACGGAGCAACGCCGCGUGAGUGAUGAAGGUUUUCGGAUCGUAAAGCUCUGUUGUUAGGGAAGAACAAGUGCAAGAGUAACUGCUUGCACCUUGACGGUACCUAACCAGAAAGCCACGGCUAACUACGUGCCAGCAGCCGCGGUAAUACGUAGGUGGCAAGCGUUGUCCGGAAUUAUUGGGGCGUAAAGGGCUCGCAGGCGGUUUCUUAAGUCUGAUGUGAAAGCCCCCGGCUCAACCGGGGAGGGUCAUUGGAAACUGGGGAAACUUGAGUGCAGAAGAGGAGAGUGGAAUUCCACGUGUAGCGGUGAAAUGCGUAGAGAUGUGGAGGAACACCAGUGGCGAAGGCGACUCUCUGGUCUGUAACUGACGCUGAGGAGCGAAAGCGUGGGGAGCGAACAGGAUUAGAUACCCUGGUAGUCCACGCCGUAAACGAUGAGUGCUAAGUGUUAGGGGGUUUCCCGCCCCUUAGUGCUGCAGCUAACGCAUUAAGCACUCCGCCUGGGGAGUACGGUCGCAAGACUGAAACUCAAAGGAAUUGACGGGGGCCCGCACAAGCGGUGGAGCAUGUGGUUUAAUUCGAAGCAACGCGAAGAACCUUACCAGGUCUUGACAUCCUCUGACAACCCUAGAGAUAGGGCUUUCCCUUCGGGGACAGAGUGACAGGUGGUGCAUGGUUGUCGUCAGCUCGUGUCGUGAGAUGUUGGGUUAAGUCCCGCAACGAGCGCAACCCUUGAUCUUAGUUGCCAGCAUUCAGUUGGGCACUCUAAGGUGACUGCCGGUGACAAACCGGAGGAAGGUGGGGAUGACGUCAAAUCAUCAUGCCCCUUAUGACCUGGGGCUACACACGUGCUACAAUGGACAGAACAAAGGGCUGCGAGACCGCAAGGUUUAGCCAAUCCCACAAAUCUGUUCUCAGUUCGGAUCGCAGUCUGCAACUCGACUGCGUGAAGCUGGAAUCGCUAGUAAUCGCGGAUCAG